GGGAGAAAGGUUAAGAAAUGAGUGGGGUUUUUUCAGUGGGGUUUUUUCAGUGGGUUUUUUUUCAGGAGGGUUUUUUCAGAUCGGGUUUUUUGAAUCGAAGAGCUAGCUUCAAGCUCUUUUCAAGGUCACUAGUUUGGUUUCAUUAGGGUUUGUGAGGGAAGAGCAAUCGCUGCUCAAAGUCAGUGUUUAUUUUGGUGUUUCGGAUUUUAUAUAAAACAUUGAUGGUUUGCAUUCUCAAUCGGUUUGUGCAAGUCGUGUAGCAUCUAUGGAUCAAAAUUUGGUAUUAUCUGGAUAGUUG
rnacentral:lncRNA from 1 species